rnacentral:rRNA from 1 species
AUGUGCGAUCAUACCAGCACUAAUGCACCGGAUCCCAUCGAACUCCGCAGUUAAGCGUGCUUGGGCGAGAGUAGUACUAGGACAUUGUGACAUCCCACAUCGGUUGUGAAGGGGAACAAAGGCUUCCUUAUA